rnacentral:rRNA from 1 species
AUUGAACGCUGGCGGAAUGCUUUACACAUGCAAGUCGAACGGCAGCACGGGGGCAACCCUGGUGGCGAGUGGCGAACGGGUGAGUAAUACAUCGGAACAUGCCCAGUCGUGGGGGAUAACGUAGCGAAAGCUACGCUAAUACCGCAUACGAACUCUGGUUGAAAGCGGGGGAUCGCAAGACCUCGCGCGAUUGGAGCGGCCGAUGGCAGAUUAGGUAGUUGGUGGGGUAAAGGCUCACCAAGCCGACGAUCUGUAGCUGGUCUGAGAGGACGACCAGCCGCACUGGGACUGAGACACGGCCCAGACUCCUACGGGAGGCAGCAGUGGGGAAUUUUGGACAAUGGGCGCAAGCCUGAUUCAGCCAUUCCGCGUGCAGGAUGAAGGCCCUCGGGUUGUAAACUGCUUUUGUACGGAACGAAACGGCUCUCUCUAAUACAGGGGGCUAAUGACGGUACCGUAAGAAUAAGCACCGGCUAACUACGUGCCAGCCGCCGCGGUAACAC